rnacentral:pre_miRNA from 1 species
UGCGGCGGCAGGACUUAGCACACAUGUGAACACUGUAAGUUUACCUCCAUGUUCACAGUGGUUAAGUUCUGCCGCCCUG